rnacentral:tRNA from 1 species
GGAGAGGUGGCAGAGUGGACGAUUGCACCGGUCUUGAAAACCGGAGUCGCCGUAAGGCGACCGUGAGUUCGAAUCUCACCCUCUCCG